rnacentral:rRNA from 2 species
GAGCCGGAGGGAAACCGAGUCUUAAUUGGGCGUUAAGUUGCAGGGUAUAGACCCGAAACCCGGUGAUCUAGCCAUGGGCAGGUUGAAGGUUGGGUAACACUAACUGGAGGACCGAACCGACUAAUGUUGAAAAAUUAGCGGAUGACCUGUGGCUGGGGGUGAAAGGCCAAUCAAACCGGGAGAUAGCUGGUUCUCCCCGAAAGCUAUUUAGGUAGCGCCUCGUGAAUUCAUCUCCGGGGGUAGAGCACUGUUUCGGCUAGGGGGCCAUCCCGGCUUACCAACCCGAUGCAAACUGCGAAUACCGGAGAAUGUUAUCACGGGAGACACACGGCGGGUGCUAACGUCCGUCGUGAAGAGGGAAACAACCCAGACCGCCAGCUAAGGUCCCAAAGUCAUGGUUAAGUGGGAAACGAUGUGGGAAGGCCCAGACAGCCAGGAUGUUGGCUUAGAAGCAGCCAUCAUUUAAAGAAAGCGUAAUAGCUCACUGGUCGAGUCGGCCUGCGCGGAAGAUGUAACGGGGCUAAACCAUGCACCGAAGCUGCGGCAGCGACACUGUGUGUUGUUGGGUAGGGGAGCGUUCUGUAAGCCUGCGAAGGUGGCCUGUGAGGGUUGCUGGAGGUAUCAGAAGUGCGAAUGCUGACAUAAGUAACGAUAAAGCGGGUGAAAAGCCCGCUCGCCGGAAGACCAAGGGUUCCUGUCCAACGUUAAUCGGGGCAGGGUGAGUCGACCCCUAAGGCGAGGCCGAAAGGCGUAGUCGAUGGGAAACGGGUUAAUAUUCCCGUACUUGGUGUUACUGCGAAGGGGGGACGGAGAAGGCUAUGUUGGCCGGGCGACGGUUGUCCCGGUUUAAGCGUGUAGGUGUGUGUUCCAGGUAAAUCCGGUUCACUUUAACACUGAGGCGUGACGACGAGGCACUACGGUGCUGAAGCAACAAAUGCCCUGCUUCCAGGAAAAGCCUCUAAGCAUCAGGUAACAUCAAAUCGUACCCCAAACCGACACAGGUGGUCAGGUAGAGAAUACCAAGGCGCUUGAGAGAACUCGGGUGAAGGAACUAGGCAAAAUGGUGCCGUAACUUCGGGAGAAGGCACGCUGACACGUAGGUGAAGUGAUUUACUCAUGGAGCUGAAGUCAGUCGAAGAUACCAGCUGGCUGCAACUGUUUAUUAAAAACACAGCACUGUGCAAACACGAAAGUGGACGUAUACGGUGUGACGCCUGCCCGGUGCCGGAAGGUUAAUUGAUGGGGUCAGCGCAAGCGAAGCUCCUGAUCGAAGCCCCGGUAAACGGCGGCCGUAACUAUAACGGUCCUAAGGUAGCGAAAUUCCUUGUCGGGUAAGUUCCGACCUGCACGAAUGGCGUAAUGAUGGCCAGGCUGUCUCCACCCGAGACUCAGUGAAAUUGAACUCGCUGUGAAGAUGCAGUGUACCCGCGGCAAGACGGAAAGACCCCGUGAACCUUUACUAUAGCUUGACACUGAACAUUGAGCCUUGAUGUGUAGGAUAGGUGGGAGGCUUUGAAGUGUGGACGCCAGUCUGCAUGGAGCCGACCUUGAAAUACCACCCUUUAAUGUUUGAUGUUCUAACGUGGACCCGUUACCCGGGUUGCGGACAGUGUCUGGUGGGUAGUUUGACUGGGGCGGUCUCCUCCUAAAGAGUAACGGAGGAGCACGAAGGUUGGCUAAUCCUGGUCGGACAUCAGGAGGUUAGUGCAAUGGCAUAAGCCAGCUUGACUGCGAGCGUGACGGCGCGAGCAGGUGCGAAAGCAGGUCAUAGUGAUCCGGUGGUUCUGAAUGGAAGGGCCAUCGCUCAACGGAUAAAAGGUACUCCGGGGAUAACAGGCUGAUACCGCCCAAGAGUUCAUAUCGACGGCGGUGUUUGGCACCUCGAUGUCGGCUCAUCACAUCCUGGGGCUGAAGUAGGUCCCAAGGGUAUGGCUGUUCGCCAUUUAAAGUGGUACGCGAGCUGGGUUUAGAACGUCGUGAGACAGUUCGGUCCCUAUCUGCCGUGGGCGCUGGAGAACUGAGGGGGGCUGCUCCUAGUACGAGAGGACCGGAGUGGACGCAUCACUGGUGUUCGGGUUGUCAUGCCAAUGGCACUGCCCGGUAGCUAAAUGCGGAAGAGAUAAGUGCUGAAAGCAUCUAAGCACGAAACUUGCCCCGAG